rnacentral:rRNA from 1 species
UACGAAGGGGGCUAGCGUUGCUCGGAUUGACUGGGCGUAAAGGGCGCGUAGGCGGUUCGUACAGUCAGACGUGAAAUUCCUGGGCUCAACCUGGGGGCUGCGUUUGAUACGUGCGGACUUGAGUGCGGAAGAGGGAAGCGGAAUUUCCGGUGUAGCGGUGAAAUGCGUAGAUAUCGGAAGGAACACCAGUGGCGAAAGCGGCUUCCUGGUCCAGCACCGACGUUCAGGCACGAAAGCGUGGGGAGCAAACAGG